CUCCAGUUGCGGGAACAUCUGUCUUCUCUCUAUUAUUUUAUCUGUGCUAUCCAUACGCUUCAUGUGAGGCAGAAGAUGUGGAUGUCUGGGGUGCCUGAGGGGGCAGCUGAGGGGCAGCUUGGGGGAGUAAAAUCCACAACCCAAUUAAAAUCCUGUGGGGUUUAACACAAACCUCUCAUCUCCGAGCUGCUCCUUAUUCUUAGGCUGUCUUGCUUUCUCCAGGGAGGAAGAGCUACUGUAGUCCUCGGACCGAGGCCAGCACUCGAGUUGUUCCAGCAGCCACUGCCUAAGCAAAAUAAAGCACAGCACCAAGGGAACAAGAGCGCCAGACUUGCUGCAAUACAACCCCUGGGAGGGAGGAGAGAAGAUCUUCCACAAAGCUGUUGUGCAGCUCAGAGUGCAUCGAUUUUAAUUUACUGUAGGGUUUUCAUCUCAACAAUGUGUUGCUUAGCUGUGUCCAGCCACAUAAAGCAAAUGGAAGAGAGAAAAAGAGAAGACAUUUCAUAAGAUGCUACCCUGUUCUUCAGAAUUUCAAAGACGAUGUCACUGGGCUGGGCUUGGGCCCUUGCUGGGAUCAGUUUUCUCUGUAUCAUCUUGCACCUGCUCUGGUUCAGAAGAAGACUUUGAAGCCCAGAAAGACUGAGCAAGCAGCUCUCUUAGACCACACGACAGAUACCAUUCAGAGUAUUUAUGCUGAGAAAGCAGAACAGCCUUGCCCCAUCUCAGAUAAUUAGAAGGUAUGUCUGGAUCAAAGCCAUGUUAAGGCUUCUUUCUGUUUCUUCUGGCUGGGCACAGCAGCAGUGGGGACGAGGAGAGCAGGGAGGACACAAACAAGGGGGGAUGGAGCCCAGCACCACAGGGUGACAGCCCAAACCCCUCCUCGUCCUGUCCCAUAUCCCCAUGAAGUCUUCUCCCAUUGAUCUGCUCCCUACUUUUCUACCUGUGACUUCUUUUUCUUUUCCUCCUCCUCCUGUUUUUGGUGAAGCAGCCGAGAAGUUUGAUCAGAUCAAUUUCCUGUCACCAAAGGGCUUAAUUCCAGGCACACAGAAAAAAAUGAGCAACUACCAUUCGCAACACCAGUGCUUUACCAAGUUUCAGUCUCCCAGAAGCUGUUCCUCAUUUUCCGUGUUUAACUGAGAUGACGCUUUCUAUGAAAUCACUUUCUUGAGUCAGCUCAAUCGGUGUGCGCUCCCUUCCACAUACAUUCUGAGCUCCUACCUCUGCUUUCAAGGCAUCACCACCGAUCAUUUAUCUCCAAUUGUGCUCACUUACAGCUUGAAAGAGGGAGGUCUGGGGACUCCGGUUUCCUGGGGCCUGAAGACCUCUGCAGUCAACAGCCAGAGACGUGUCCCUUCAUCUCCUGAGCCACAGCACUGCCACGUGCCUUAAGCAAGCUGACUGCAGAGGCUCCUCCUGCCGCAGCUUCAGGGUCCAAAGCCCCUCUUGCAGAUCUGCCUGGCCGGGCUAAUUCCUGCGAUGCCUCAAGAUGCUUUUCCUGAGCAUCUUCUGCAAAAGCUGAGGGACCCUGCAUGCCUGACCUGGCUCACGGGCAGAAUUCACCUUCCCCAACCGCUUCCAAAAUGCUGCAGCUCCAGAGAGCUCUCCAAAGCUGGCCUUGGGCACCCCCAGGGUGCAAAGCCGGCCACACGUAGGAGGGCCCAACCACAAGAGGGCAGCUUGGCUCAGAACCUCGUUAUUUUAAGGCCAAGGAAAGGAAGAAGGCGCCAUUUCCAGGCGAUCCAGAUGUGGGGAGUGCAGGCACUGUAAUCAGGGUGGGUUUGCCGUCCUCUACCUCCAUGCUCAGCAGCUCGUCCCAGCACAUGGUCUAGAUUAAGCCCCAUUCUAUUUUUUUAAGACAUUAAAACCGCGAUGAGCUCUCCAGUCCCCCAGUGGGCUCAUCUUGGAAAAUCUCGCAAUAGCUCCGAUUUCUGCCAAAUCAUUCUGAUCUGAGCUUUCAACUUGUCUUCCACCCUGGGGGCUUGGCUUCCCUGUUGGUAGAAGGAUAAAGGGCUUGUACAAAGGCCUCGGGAGAGGUGUGCGUGGGCUCCCUGAUGCUGAUUUGAAGCAAAGGCAGAGCCCGCGUGUGGGGGUGUGUGCACACCAGUUCACCUCGGGGGCCACCCACAGACUCCAAAAUGAAUUAUUUGCUCAUA